GACGAACGCUGGCGGCGUGCUUAACACAUGCAAGUCGAACGGUGAGGCCGUGCCUUGGUGGGGUGCUCGAGUGGCGAACGGGUGAGUAACACGUGAGUAACCUGCCCUUGACCUUGGGAUAACUUCAGGAAACUGGGGCUAAUACCGGAUAGGAGCUCCUGUUGCAUGGUGGGGGCUGGAAAGUUUCGGUGGUAGGGGAUGGACUUGCGGCUUAUCAGCUUGUUGGUGGGGUAGUGGCUUACGAAGGCUUUGACGGAUAGCCGGCCUGAGAGGGUGACCGGCCACAUUGCUACUGCGGUACGGCCCAGUAUCCUACGGUAGGCAGCGGUGGGGAAUAUGACACAAUAGGCGGGAGCCUGAUGCAGCGGCGCCGCGUGCGUGAUGACGGGCUUCGGGUGAUAAACCGGUGUGGCCUGUGACGAUGCGUGAGUGACGGUAAUGUGUAAAGAAGCACCGGCUAACUACCUG
rnacentral:rRNA from 1 species